CUCGCUGUUGCGUUGCCUCAUGCCUGGUCGCGCUAAGCUAAACAUCACACCGCGAAAGACUACCACCACCUUCCGCCGACCGCCGGCCACCUCCGGCCUGCCUACGCCAGCUCCUCCCGACAGCGACAGCCCCCUCACCUGGACGCGGGAACACUACCGUCGGAGGAGGAGGAGGAGAUGGAGUUCCUGUACGAUUGUGGCGCCACCGCCGUCGUCACGGACGUGGCAGCCGCGCUCGCGAGCACCGCCGGUAUCCAGGCGUCCUCUCCCUCUGCCGUCGCCUCCGAGAGAGGUACCGGAGCGGCGAGCUGAAGAGGGCUCUUUCCGAGGCUGAAGACUACGCCUUAAGGUGGAGCUGCGCAUGGGGUGAGCAAACCGGCCUUGCUCCUGAAUUCUGGCCGUCUUUGGGCUGGCCGGCGAAGACGGCAAAUUCCGGCGCUUUGGGUGCCUCAGCUUCGGCUCCUUUGCUUCCCUUGCUGUUCUGCUGGCCGUGCGUUUCCCUGGCUUCUUCUGCAUGUGUUGAGCUUUCCUGAAUCCCUGACGAGUUAUUGUUUUUUCUAGAAUACUCAGUUCCUGGGUGGACGCUUAGUAAGCAGAUAAGUGGACUUGGGCACUUGACUCGUUUCUUAAUAGGAAAAAUAGUGAUUAAAUUCUUAUAUUCAGGGUGAUCUGGCAUUGUUGGUAGUGUUUUUUUAUUUAAAGAAAACGAUCAAUUCAGAUCAUUCAUGAUAUUAAUAGAGUGUUGGCCCUCCCAUCCUUCAAAUCCUAAAUUCGUUUCUUUUGGUUAUGUUGAUUAUUUGUUCCUUCUUUGGCUCUGCAUAAGGAAAUAUGGUGGAAAUAAGGGUUAACAUAAGAUAGUACUAAGGGGGGAUUGACUAUCACCACCAGGUGGCAGCAAAAUGUACCGCACAUCAUGACAGAGAAAGGAAAUCCAUAUUCUGGUCAGCUAUUAACACUGUAUGUCUUUGUGUAUGAAAUUUGGUGGGCGAAAUCACAGUUCAUUAUGCUAAAAUGAGAAAUGAGACAAAACACUCUUGUAGCUGACUGUCAACAUGAGAAAUGAAACUAUUAGUCUUUCUAUACCUUUGUAGACAGAACACUCUUCUAGCUAGUGUCUAAACGGUCCUAGAUAGUGCUUCCCAGCCACUACAUCAUCCUCGUGUUGUACGAUUAACAUCUACCACUACAUCAUCUAUUUUUGGAUUGAAGAAAUUUAACUGCUCUAUAUAUACUUUUCUGUCAGGUAGUCUGACUGUUUAGCAUCUGUUGCUACGAGUGACAGAGUUUUCUGUUUAAUUAAAUAGCUAACAUUUUUUUUCUGAUAGACCGCAAUAUUAUCUCUGAUGAGAAUAUUUGAGAGAAUUGUUUCUUGUUAUUAUCCAAAAAAGAUUGCGACCAUGGCUAUACAAUAAUAUUCGGUAGGACUGUGUUGUCUAAGGUAAUUGCGCUGGGAGUUUCUAUGGAGAACCUGGAGUCUGGUUGGGGCGAUCA